rfam:Fonsecaea pedrosoi CBS 271.37 unplaced genomic scaffold supercont1.2, whole genome shotgun sequence.
GGUGGCGUGGCCUAAUGGUAAGGCGUUGCUUUCCGGUUACAUUCUUGUAUCAAUCAGGAGCGUGGCAAAGACUGUGGGUUCGAGUCCCAUCGCCAUCG